UGCGUAGGCGGCGUAAAAAGUCAGAUGUGAAAUCCGGAGGCUCAACCUCCGAAUUGCAUCCGAAACUUUUAUGCUAGAGGGUUGUAGAGGAGCUUGGAAUUCUCGGUGUAGCAGUGAAAUGCGUAGAUAUCGAGAAGAACGCUCGCAGCGAAAGCGGGGCUCUGGGCAACUUCUGACGCUGAUGCACGAAGGCUAGGGGAGCAAACG
rnacentral:rRNA from 1 species